CCUACGGGACGCAGCAGUGAGGAAUAUUGGUCAAUGGGCGGAAGCCUGAACCAGCCAAGUCGCGUGAGGGAAUAAGGCCCUACGGGUCGUAAACCUCUUUUGCCGGGGAGCAAGGGCGGGGACGCGUCCCGGCCCGGAGAGUACCCGGAGAAAAAGCAUCGGCUAACUCCGUGCCAGCAGCCGCGGUAAUACGGAGGAUGCGAGCGUUAUCCGGAUUUAUUGGGUUUAAAGGGUGCGUAGGCGGUCUUUUAAGUCAGCGGUCAAAUUUCGGGGCUCAACCCCGGCCUGCCGUUGAAACUGGCGGG
rnacentral:rRNA from 1 species